rnacentral:rRNA from 1 species
UACAGAGGUGGCAAGCGUUGUUCGGAAUUACUGGGCGUAAAGGGCGCGUAGGCGGCCAUCUAAGUCAGACGUGAAAUCCCCCGGCUUAACCUGGGAACUGCGUCUGAUACUGGACGGCUUGAGUAUGGGAGAGGGAUGUAGAAUUCCAGGUGUAGCGGUGAAAUGCGUAGAUAUCUGGAGGAAUACCGGUGGCGAAGGCGGCAUCCUGGACCGGCAUUGACGCUGAGGAGCGAAAGCCAGGGGAGCAAACGGG